AGUCGAACGGACUUAAUCGAUUCUUUUAGAUUCGAAGCGGUUAGUGGCGGACUGGUGAGUAACACGUAAGCAACCUGCCUGUUAGAGGGGAAUAACAGUGAGAAAUCACUGCUAAAACCGCAUAUGCCGUGAACAUCGCAUGAUGAAAACGGGAAAAGAGCAAUCUGUUAAUAGAUGGGCUUGCGUCUGAUUAGCUAGUUGGUGUGGUAAAGGCAUACCAAGGCAACGAUCAGUAGCCGGACUGAGAGGUUGAACGGCCACAUUGGGACUGAGAUACGGCCCAGACUCCUACGGGAGGCAGCAGUCGGGAAUAUUGCGCAAUGGAGGAAACUCUGACGCAGUGACGCCGCGUAUGGGAAGAAGGUUUUCGGAUUGUAAACCAUUUUAGACAAGGAAGAAACAAGACAGUACUUGUAGAAUAAGCUCCGGCUAACUACGUGCCAGCAGCCGCGGUAAUACGUAGGGAGCAAGCGUUAUCCGGAUUUAUUGGGUGUAAAGGGUGCGUAGACGGGAAGGUAAGUUAGUUGUGAAAUCCCUCGGCUCAACUGAGGAACUGCGACUAAAACUGCUUUUCUUGAGUGCUGGAGAGGAAAGUGGAAUUCCUAGUGUAGCGGUGAAAUGCGUAGAUAUUAGGAGGAACACCAGUGG
rnacentral:rRNA from 1 species